GCGGUAAUACGGAGGAUCCAAGCGUUAUCCGGAUUUAUUGGGUUUAAAGGGUGCGCAGGCGGACCAAUAAGUCAGUGGUGAAAUCUACAUGCUUAACAUGUAUAGUGCCAUUGAUACUGUUGGACUAGUAUGCAAAUGACGUAGCUGGAAUGUGUUAUGUAGCGGUGAAAUGCUUAGAUAUAACACAGAACACCGAUCGUGAAGACAGGUUACGAAUUUGUUAUAGACGCUCAGGCACGAAAGCGUGGGGAUCAAACAGGAUUAGAUACCCUGGUAGUCCACGCUGUAAACGAUGAUAACUUGUUGUUGGGCACAUAGUGCUCAGUGGCUAAGCGAAAGCGAUAAGUUAUCCACCUGGGGAGUACGAUCGCAAGGUUGAAACUCAAAGGAAUUGACGGGGGCCCGCACAAGCGGAGGAGCAUGUGGUUUAAUUCGAUGAUACGCGAGGAACCUUACCCGGGCUCGAACGUAUAUUGAAUAACGUGGAAACAUGUUAGUCGCAAGACAAUAUACGAGGUGCUGCAUGGUUGUCGUCAGCUCGUGCCGUGAGGUGUCAGGUUAAGUCCUAUAACGAGCGCAACCCUUACUUUCAGUUGCCAGCACGUAAUGGUGGGGACUCUGGAGGAACUGCCUACGCAAGUAGUGAGGAAGGUGGGGAUGACGUCAAAUCAGCACGGCCCUUAUGUUCGGGGCUACACACGUGCUACAAUGGUCGAUACAGAGGGCAGCUACUUGGCAACAAGAUGCGAAUCUCGAAAGUCGAUCUCAGUUCGGAUCGGAGGCUGUAACUCGCCUCCGUGAAGUUGGAUUCGCUAGUAAUCGCGCAUCAGCCAUGGCGCGGUGAAUACGUUCCCGGGCCUUGCACACACCGCCCAU
rnacentral:rRNA from 1 species